CAAUUCUAUUCUUUUUUUUUUUUUUUUAAUGCUGGACAUGAAAACCUCCUAAAACGGUUGUCUGAACCAUGAAUGGAUUGUGUUCUACAUAGCUGAAAAACACCAAUCUAGAAUGGAAUCAAACCUCUACCAUAAAAUCAUCCUCUCUUACUUCAAUUAUUGCCAAAACAAGAACAAACCCAGAAAUUCUAUAUAAGAAGGCAGUAUAAUUUAAUGGAAAGACUAACAGAUUAGAAGAAAACUAAGAAAUUUAAUCAUUCCAUUCUAGCUCUGGUUUUUUCCUUGCGGGGGAAAUAAAAUACUGUAGUGAAACCUACAUAGAAAACAAGACUGAACUGAUAAUUUUCUUCAUUUAAAAAAUCAAUUUAAUACUUGGAAUAUCCCCAUGCAUCAUGAAAAUAUAAUGAUCCCUUUAAAAGUGAUAUGCUUAGAAAGUAGACUAUAUAAGGCUCCUCCGGUGAGUCACAGUUUUUAAAAAAAUUUCCUUUAUAUCCUCAUUCCUUUAUAUCUUUUACAUUUAAACUUUUAUUACUUAAUAAAGUCCCACGUGGGAGAGUUUUUAGUUCCUGUCCACACAUAACUAAAGGAAAGAAAGAUAAAAUCUUCUGUACCAUCUUUAUGCUGCAUUUUGUUCUAUAUUCCAAGUAUUUUUUCCUGGCUUCUUCUCGUCAUCUGUUUCCUGUUAAGUAUAGCUAGGACCAAUCUUCAGAAGCCAAACUGCCUUGUUGAGAGAGAUCAGGAAUAAAAAGCCCCAGAUUUACUGGAAAAGCUAUAAUUUGAUCUUCCUAGAUUUUUUCUUAAUAAAUUACUUACAAUAAUCGGUGUUAAGAAAUAUAACUAGUUACUAUUUGGUACUAAUUGCCUAGUCUGUUUGCUCAAGGAGGAAGGAGGCAAUGUGAAAUGUGAAUUUAUAACUCACAUUUUAAGGUGAAACAUUAGAUAUCUUUGCAACUGUUACAUUUCCAAUAUAAGACCUCUAAAAAAGAAAAGAAAUUCUACCUAAUGGCUGUCUUCAAGUGUUUUUGUGCUGGGGCUUUAGCUAUAUGGAACUUUAUUUCAAGCCAUGGGCAACAAUUAGAAGCCAUUUGGAAUUCUUAUCCUCCUGCAGAGAAUACAUUUGUAGAGUUAGUUCUUGAUUCAGUGUUAGUCCAAAGACUUUAAAUUCCACUAUGGCAAUCAUGGCUUUGGGAUAGAGGGGAAAGCUGGGUAAUAAAACCUACAAUGUGAAUCCAGGUACAAGAUCUCCACCUAUGUAAACUCACUUAUAUCUCUUUAUAAGUUAAACAUGGGUGUAGAUCUGUUUCCUGGUUAUGGGGGAAGUAAAGACGGGGAAUUUCAAAUGAACAAAUGGGUAAAGACAGACCCUAAGUCUUUAUUAACGGGACUGGUGGCAUGGGAUUAUAGAUUAUUCUUAGAUUUUAGGGAAGUUAUAUGAACUCAAUAAUUCCCAGUAACCAGUUUGAUUAUGCAAAAUUUGAAACAAAUAAAAAAGCUGACAUAUAAAGGAGGUCUCAGAGAGGUCAAACACUCGCUUUUCUGAGCUUGGCCCUCUGUGCUCAUUCUUGCAACACACUUGUUUGGGCUGACACGGUUGCUUGCUCUUUUAAAUAUAACUGUUGUCAGUUUUUUUCUUGCCUACUUAAGAAACUUCUCCUUUUACCCAGUCUAGCAACAGUUACUACCAUGGGUAUGUCUACUAUAUACCAGGCCCUGUUCCAAAUGCCUUACGAAUGUGGUAGCUCUUUAAGCCUUACAACAACCUUUGAGGAAGAAAGGAUCUCCCUCCACAUUUUGCAGAAGAUACUGAGGCAUCGAGAUACCGAGUUAACCAUGUAAUGUCAACAAAUUCCAGACCCUGUGGCAGCUUAGAGCAGCUUGUGAGUCCCAGCCCCAUCCCUGUGUUCCUCACCUGCCCUUUUUCCUUGGCAUGGGCACAGGUGUUCCUGCAGUUCUCAUCGGGAGGGGAGGGCAGGGGAGGAGGUGGGCAGGGUCAAGAGAAGCAACCCAAGAUGGAUGAGAAUUUGCUUCACUGCCAGAAGUGUGAAGUCAUUUCUGUUUUGCUGCAUUCUGUUAGCACUGUUCUUACUUCCUUCACUAACACACUCUUUUUCAAACCUUCCAUUUCAGUUUUCCCUCCUUCUUCUUCUUGGUCUCACUAGUACUAGACAGUGGGCAGAAGUGACCUCAUCAGUCUGUGUCCUUUGGGUGUAGUCUUUCAACCACAAAAAAGAUUCAGGGACUCCAAGGAUGGAGAUCCAAAGUCGCAGGAGGGUGACAAAAAGAGGUGGGGUGGAAGGAAGGAGAGGAGGCAAAAAAGUACCGGACUCAGGGAGGAUGUUUUAAGCAAGUAUUGGGUAAAAUGAAAGGCGAGGAGUCAGACACAGACACCCUGGCCUGGAAAAGCUGCCAUUCUCUAAUGAAAAAGCUGUAUCAAAACCGUUUUCAUGUGUAAAGGCAGGGAAAAUCUGAAGAUAUAUUCAAAGUCAGCUCAUAAAAUGACACGUAAGAAGUAAACCUGAUGAAGAGAUGUAAACCAGUUAUCCAUCAUAAGGUAGAUGAAUAAAAAAUACAAGUUCUCCUAUCAAUAAGAGUAAGAAUUAUUGCCUAAAAUGCAUACCCAGCCCUUUAAUGUGAUAUAAAACAUGCUACAAACAGCCACUACUCCUAGCCCCACCCCUGCCACCCCACUAGGACUCCUCAGACACAAUGACUGCUUUAUUUGAGUCACUAGAAGAACAACGUUCACUCAAGCUAGAAUUUUUCAAACAUUCUUGAGAUUUGUUAGGCUGGCUUUGCCCCAGAAAAACUGACUAAGAUACAUUUGAAAUGUUGCAUUAUGUUGGGUGGGCUUCAUCCACAAAUCUGUUAUUAGAAACCCAUAUGCAGUUGGUCGUGUACGUUCAUGGGUUCCGCAUCCUCAGAUUCAACCAACUACAGAUCAAAAACAUUUGAAAAAAAAAUUUAUGGUCGUGUCUGUACUGAACAUGCACAUUUUUUUCUUGUCAUUAUGCACUAAACAAUACCGUGUAACAAUUGUUUACAUAGCAUUUAUAUUGCAUUAGUUAUUAUAAGUAAUCUAGAGAUGAUUUAAAGUACAUGGGCCAGGUGUGGUAGCUCAUACUUGUAAUCCCAACUACUUGGGAGGCGGAGGCAGGAGGAUCAUUUGACUCAGGAGCUCAAGGCUACAUGCCUCUGCACUCUAGCCUGGACAACAGAGUGAGACCCAUCUCUAAACACAUAAAAAUAAAAAAAAAGAGUACAUGGGAAUAUUGCAUAGGUUAUAAUAUAAAUGCUGUACCAUUUUAUAUAAGGGACUUGAGCAUGCAUGGAUAUCAGGGGCGGGGGGGUGGUGUCCUGGGACUAAUUCCCCAAGGAUACUGAGGGACAACAAACUAUGGACCCCAAACCAGGUGCUCUGUGAAUGAAGAGCUUUCCUCUGAGAUGAGGGAAGCAGGGAGAAGAUGGAAACUGGGGAAGGCUUUGUGGGAGAGGUGGCAAAUGAGCAGGAGCUAGAACAGAAUUCAAAUGUGGGUUUGGGGAGGAAAGGAGGAAGACACAGCUCAGAAAGAGAAGUCUACAGCCAUACCCCGCUGAAUGCACCUGAUCCUGGCUGAUCUCAGAAGCUAAGCAGGGUUGGGCCUGGUUAGUACUUGGAUGGGAGAAAGAAAAGGAGAAGGGAGGAGUAGGGCAAGGAGCAUUUCAACUGGCUUAAAGGGUGAAGUGGGCCGGGUGCGGUGGCUCAUGCCUGUAAUCCCAGCACUUUGGGAGGCCGAGGCGGGCGGAUCAGGAGGUCGGGAGAUCAAGACCAUCCUGGCUAACAUGGUGAAACCCCAUCUCUACUAAAAACACAAAAAUUAGCUGGGUGUGGUGGAGCAUGCCUGUAAUCCCAG
rnacentral:lncRNA from 1 species